CUCCUGGGAACGGAACAUGCAGCGCGAGGCUACAAAGGGCAACUUCCACGCGAGGGGACAAACAGAGAAGGAAACCUUGGAUGAAAUGGCCGUCCUGCGCGUUUCUUCCUCCCCUCGGUCGAAAAAUGCCGGUCUUGCUGGAACCAGCUGACGAAAGCUUUCGAUUUCCUAUUCGCAGUGUUGAGAAGAGCGCUUGGAAUGAGACCUGAAGUCCUGCAGCAUCUUACUAAUAUGUCCAACUUGUUUUUUAAAAUAAUCAUAAUCAUAAUCAUGCCACUACUGUAGAAAGAAACAGUGGAUUUCUUUGUACCUUUUUUAUUUUUAAAAUCUGGGGGUCUCAAGAUAAAUUCGAAAUCCCAGAAUCUCCAAUCCUUUCUGGGAUUACAAAUCCCAGAAUCUCCAACCCUUUGGCAUUUAAAGGAUGUAGUCCUGACAUGUUAGGAGGCCAGCAGUUGGGGAUGACUAUUUUAUAAAAAAAUACCCAGCUAUAAAAACACCUCAUACAACAAAACAAACGUCAUGCCUGACAAGCAACUUCAUGCAUAUAUAAACAAAUAUAUUGGGAGGGACACAUUGAGUAAAGUUGGAUUAAGGUUUUUUUCUUCCUUACUAAUCAGGAAACACACUGAAAAAUGGGGUGUGAUGUUUUGGAAGGACGCUCUUUUCUAAGUUACUAAUGUUAUUAAUGUUACUAAUGCAUUACUUUUUGAAUGGAAUGUAAUUGGUAACUCUGUUUUUUUAAACUACAAUUAAUUUCAGAAUAAAAUAUGACUUUUCCAAUUAA